rnacentral:lncRNA from 1 species
AUUGUCCGAGUGUAACGGGCGACUUUAGGUUUAACACAUUUUAGGGUUUGGCGGCUAUGGCGGCUGAAGCGGUGAGGGAGCUGAAGAAAUCGCUCAACGACGACGAGGGUUUCUUUGAUAGGCACGAAGAGAUGACUGAUCUGCUCACACAUAUUGAGGGAGACAACCGCAUCGCUGUAGUGCUGGGCCCCAACGAUUCAGGCAAGUCCGCUCUGCUCAAGCAGCUCAGGAAGAUGUGGGAUACCAGCCCUUUGCUGAAAGCCCAGUUGCCGCUCUUCUACAUGGACAUGAGGGCUGCGGACUUCAGUUCCCCAUAGCAGGCACAGAUUGCAAGACAGAUGCGAACUUCGGCUUUUUGGCUCAUAGAUGUGGCAGCUCAAAGUGCCCUGCAACUGGCUUCCAUUGCUUAAUGUCUAUGUGACUUUAGAACCACUGCCGGAAAAGGUUGUCGAAGGUGUACAUAAUCACCACAACAGCCCGGUUUUGUUUGGUCAUGGCUAUGAAACAUCCCAGGAGGGCUAUGAAACAUCUUAG